CUUGCGCGAGGGAAAGAGGCAUGUAUACCUCUAUGGAAACUAUUUGAUCGACUUUGCGAUAAGUACGAUUUGGGGCAGGUGUGGUGGCAUGACAAAAGGAUUUCUGGAGGUCUUGAGUUCGUGUCAACCUAAAGGUACUUCAAGAGCCUUCAUGAUGGGGAUUCUACGCUCCUUCAUUACUAGUACUGUGUCUUGAGGAACAACACCAAUAGCACUGCGAAGUGAUUUCUGCGUCACCUGGUCAAAACAACCAAUACAUCGUCGUUUUUGCAAAAUUUAACUGGAACAGGUCAGGGUUAGAAAAGAGUUUAGUGGAAAACUCACUGUCGUCCGAGGGCGAACGUAAAGAGAUAGAUCCUUCAAGGAUGUCAUAAAAUCUGUACAACAGCCUGAUAAUCGUGCUCUUCCCGCCACCCGAGUUUCCAACAAAUGCUACCGUCUGACCAGGAUACACUUUGAAGGAAACAUUUUUCACGACGUGGUUGCUAAAAAAUAGAAUUUUGAAGACUUCGUCUGAGGCUUAUGUCAAACGCCGAAUUUCAAAUGAGCCGAACCUAAUGACAUCUAAGAAGACCGUAAUAUCACUCGUGCCACACACCAUUCUCGUCAGUUCCCGCGGAGCCUAGAGUUCCUUGCAGGCUCUAACCAAUAAGACUAAAAUAAAACUUCAAUUAUAUCGACUCCUAAAAUAAACACUCAGGAGCUCUCAGAUGAUCUCACUAAAAGAUCGAAUUCGAAAUUUAGCUCGAUUGGAUUUGUGGGAGAGCAAUAGCAAAGAACCCAGAGAAAAACCAUCAAGGGAGAGACCUUACAAACUCUGCUCACAAGUGAUGUCGAGUCCAGGAAUUGAACCAGAGACCCGAGAUGCAGGUGCACUAUCACAACAUCACCCUUGUUUCUCGAAUUCCCGUACAUUUUCACUCGAGAAAAGCAAUAUUUGCACAUGAAGACUGUUCACAGGUAGAAAAAUCUCCUACAAAGAUCAUGCGUUCGCCUUGAUGUGAAAUGCCUUACCUCAGAUUGUAACCAAAACUCACGUCCUUGAACUCAAUAAGCCCAUUAGAAACAUUGAGAAUAGUUGCGUC